UACGUAGGGUGCGAGCGUUGUCCGGAAUUAUUGGGCGUAAAGAGCUUGUAGGCGGUUUGUCGCGUCUGCUGUGAAAAUCCGGGGCUCAACCCCGGGCUUGCAGUGGGUACGGGCAGACUAGAGUGUGGUAGGGGAGACUGGAAUUCCUGGUGUAGCGGUGAAAUGCGCAGAUAUCAGGAGGAACACCAAUGGCGAAGGCAGCACUCUGGGACGGGACUGACGCUGAGGCGCGAAAGCGUGGGGAGCAAACAGG
rnacentral:rRNA from 1 species